UGGGAUGUCGUCUAAAGGCAAGACACCGGAGUCUGGUUCCGGUAAUCGAGGUUCGAGUCCUUGCAUCCCAG
rnacentral:tRNA from 2 species